rnacentral:lncRNA from 1 species
AUGGAAGAGGAAAAUGCAACAUUACUGACAGAAUUUGUUCUCACAGGAUUUUUAUGUCAACAAGGAUUUUUAUGGGAAAUACCCCUGUUCCUGGCAUUCUUGGUAAUAGAUCUCAUCACCAUCAUGGGGAAUCUUGGUCUGAUUUUUCUCAUCUGGAAAGACCCUCACCUUCAUAUUUCAAUGUACUUAUUCCUUGGGAGUUUAGCUUUUGUGGAUACUUGGUUAUCAUCCACAGUGACUCCGAAGAUGCUGAUCAACUUCUUAGCUAAGAGUAAGAUGAUAUCUCUCUCUGAAUGCAUGGUACAAUUUUUUUUCCCUUGCAAUCAGUGUAACCACAGAAUGUUUUAUCUCGGCAUCAAUGGCAUAUGAUCGCUAUGCAGACAUAUGCAAACCUUUACUUUAUCCAGUCAUUAUGACCAAUGAACUAUGCAUCUGGCUAUUUGUCUUGUCAUUUCUAGGUGGCCUUUUUCAUGCUUUAAUCCAUGAAGGUUUUUUAUUCAGACUAACCUUCUGUAACUCCAACAUGAUACAACAUUUUUACUGUGACAUUAUCCCAUUGUUAAAGAUUUCAUGUACUGAUUCUUGUAUUAAUUUUCUAAUGUUUUUUAUUUUCUCAGGUUCAAUUCAAGUUUUAACCAUUGGGAUUGUUUUUGUAUCUUAUAUGUUUGUUCUCUUUACAAUCUUAAAAAAGAAGUCUAACAAAGGCAUAAGGGAAGCCUUUUCCACCUGUGGAGCCCAUUACAUACCUCUCUCUUUAUGUUAUGGCCUCCUUCUCUUCAUGUAUGUGGGCCCUGCAGCUCCACAAGCAGAUAAUCAAGAUAUGAUGGAGUAUCUAUUUUACCCUAUCAUUGUGCGUUUGUUAAACCAUAUUACUACAGCCUGAGAAAUAAGCAAUAAUAGGUUCACUCACAAAAAUGUUAAAA